rnacentral:rRNA from 1 species
AAGACCUUGCGCUUUUGGAGCGGCCGAUGCCUGAUUAGCUUGUUGGUAAGGUAAAAGCUUACCAAGGCUUCGAUCAGUAGCUGGUCUGAGAGGACGACCAGCCACACUGGGACUGAGACACGGCCCAGACUCCUACGGGAGGCAGCAGUGGGGAAUUUUGGACAAUGGGGGCAACCCUGAUCCAGCCAUGCCGCGUGAGUGAAGAAGGCCUUCGGGUUGUAAAGCCCUUUCAGCCGGAACGAAACGGUUACGGUUAACACCCGUGACUACUGACGGUACCGGAAGAAGAAGCACCGGCUAACUACGUGCCAGCAGCCGCGGUAAUACGUAGGGUGCGAGCGUUAAUCGGAAUUACUGGGCGUAAAGCGUGCGCAGGUGGUUUUGUAAGUCAGAUGUGAAAGCCCCGGGCUCAACCUGGGAACU